AGAGCGAACGCUGGCGGCAGGCCUAACACAUGCAAGUCGAGCGCCCGUAGCAAUACGGGAGCGGCAGACGGGAUAGUAACACGUGGGAACGCGCCCUUCGGUUCGGAAUAACUCAGGGAAACUUGAGCUAAUACCGGAUACGCCCUUACGGGGAAAGAUUUAUUGCCGAAGGAACGGCCCGCGUCCGAUUAGCUAGUUGGUGAGGUAAUGGCUCACCAAGGCGACGAUCGGUAGCUGGUCUGAGAGGAUGACCAGCAUCACUGGGACUGAGACACGGCCCAGACUCCUACGGGAGGCAGCAGUGGGGAAUAUUGGACAAUGGGCGCAAGCCUGAUCCAGCCAUGCCGCGUGGAUGAUGAAGGCCUUAGGGUUGUAAAGUCCUUUUAACGGGGAAGAUAAUGACGGUACCCGUAGAAUAAGCCCCGGCUAAUUUCGUGCCAGCAGCCGC
rnacentral:rRNA from 1 species